rnacentral:rRNA from 1 species
GUGAGGAAUAUUGCGCAAUGGAGGCAACUCUGACGCAGCCAUGCCGCGUGCAGGAAGAAGGCGCUACGCGUUGUAAACUGCUUUUAACCGGGAAGAAACCCCAGGACGUGUCCUGGGUUGACGGUACCGGAGGAAUAAGCACCGGCUAACUUCGUGCCAGCAGCCGCGGUAAUACGAAGGGUGCAAGCGUUAUCCGGAUUCAUUGGGUUUAAAGGGUGCGUAGGCGGAGCGUUAAGUCAGUGGUGAAAUCCUGCAGCUUAACUGUAGACUUGCCAUUGAUACUGGCGCUCUUGAGUGCGCUUGAAGUGGGCGGAAUGUGCCGUGUAGCGGUGAAAUGCUUAGAUAUGGCACAGAACACCAAUUGCGAAGGCAGCUCACUAAGGCGAUACUGACGCUGAGGCACGAAAGCGUGGGGAUCGAACAGGAUUAGAUACCCAAGUAGUCC